CCUACGGGUGGCAGCAGUGGGGGAUAUUGCACAAUGGGGGCAACCCUGAUGCAGCGACGCCGCGUGAGCGAUGGAGUACUUCGGUAUGUAAAGCUCUGUCAGCAGGGAAGAGAAUGACUGUACCUGACCAAGAAGCGCCGGCUAAAUACGUGCCAGCAGCCGCGGUAAUACGUAUGGGGCAAGCGUUAUCCGGAUUUACUGGGUGUAAAGGGAGCGUAGGCGGCAGGGCAAGCCUGAUGUGAAAGCCCGGGGCUCAACCCCGGGACUGCAUUGGGAACUGCCCCGCUCGAGUGCCGGAGGGGCAGGCGGAAUUCCUAGGGGAGCGGUGAAAUGCGUAGAUAUUAGGAGGGACACCAGAGGCGGAGGCGACCUGCUGGACGGUGUACUGACGCUGAGGCUCGAAAGCGUGGGGAGCAAACAGGAUUAGAUACCCGAGUAGUC
rnacentral:rRNA from 1 species